rnacentral:rRNA from 1 species
AUGAAGUGGACCAGAAGAAAAAGACGGGGAAAAUCGACCAUUAGAGUGUAUGAUGGCAGCAAGCUUGCGCAUUCCUUGGAACCUCCAGUAAUAAAAAAUAAUAAUAGAUUGACAUAUCUGAGAAAUCUCCACUAUCCAGACACCGAACCAGUUGCAGAUGCCACGAGAAAUAAGAAGAAAGUGGAUGUUGCAUUGCGUAGCACUAAAAAAAAAUCAGUUCAGCAUACUGGUGUGCCACAGCUUGAUGAAUGCACUUACUCUUUUGAGUGGAGGUCUUCUUCUGUACCAGAAACAUUAGACAUUGUGUACAAGCAAGUACCAAAGGAGUUUCUUCAGAUGUGA